GACGAACGCUGGCGGCGUGCCUAAUACAUGCAAGUCGAGCGCAGGAAGCCGUCCGAACCCUUCGGGGGGACGACGGUGGAAUGAGCGGCGGACGGGUGAGUAACACGUAAAGAACCUGCCCAUAGGUCUGGGAUAACCACGAGAAAUCGGGGCUAAUACCGGAUGUGUCAUCGGACCGCAUGGUCCGCUGAUGAAAGGCGCUCCGGCGUCGCCCAUGGAUGGCUUUGGGGUGCAUUAGCUAGUUGGGGGGGUAACGGCCCACCAAGGCGACGAUGCAUAGCCGACCUGAGAGGGUGAUCGGCCACACUGGGACUGAGACACGGCCCAGACUCCUACGGGAGGCAGCAGUAGGGAAUCUUCCACAAUGGACGAAAGUCUGAUGGAGCAACGCCGCGUGAACGAUGAAGGCUUUCGGGUCGUAAAGUUCUGUUGUAAGGGAAGAACAAGUGCCGCAGGAAAUGGCGGCACCUUGACGGUACCUUGCGAGAAAGCCACGGCUAACUACGUGCCAGCCGCCGCGGUAA
rnacentral:rRNA from 1 species